UGGGGAAUAUUGGACAAUGGGCGAAAGCCUGAUCCAGCCAUGCCGCGUGUGUGAAGAAGGCCUUUUGGUUGUAAAGCACUUUAAGCGAGGAGGAGGCUACUUAGAUUAAUACUCUAGGAUAGUGGACGUUACUCGCAGAAUAAGCACCGGCUAACUCUGUGCCAGCAGCCGCGGUAAUACAGAGGGUGCGAGCGUAAAUCGGAUUUACUGGGCGUAAAGCGUGCGUAGGCGGCUUCUUAAGUCGGAUGUGAAAUCCCUGAGCUUAACUUAGGAAUUGCAUUCGAUACUGGGAAGCUAGAGUAUGGGAGAGGAUGGUAGAAUUCCAGGUGUAGCGGUGAAAUGCGUAGAGAUCUGGAGGAAUACCGAUGGCGAAGGCAGCCAUCUGGCCUAAUACUGACGCUGAGGUACGAAAGCAUGGGGAGCAAACAGG
rnacentral:rRNA from 1 species